rnacentral:rRNA from 1 species
GCAAGUCGAACGGUAACAUGGGAGCUUGCUCCUGAUGACGAGUGGCGGACGGGUGAGUAACGCGUGGGAACAUGCCUAUUAGUUGGGGACAACCUGUGGAAACGCAGGCUAAUACCGAAUAAGUUCUAUGGAAUAAAGGUGGCCUCUACUUGUAUGCUAUCGCUAAUAGAUUGGCCCACGUUGGAUUAGCUAGUUGGUGAGGUAAAAGCUCACCAAGGCGACGAUCCAUAGCUGGUUUGAGAGGAUGAUC